UCCAAACGGCCAUACAUGAGACGCAAGUGCCCUGCUCCCUUCAGAGUUCUCACUCCAAGGGCUCAGCCCUUCGGAAGGAGUAGGGCAUAUGGAUGCUCACUUCGUUUGGAAUUCACGCUUUGGCACAUGACAGACCUGUGUUGCAUCUGAAACUGUCUGUCAGGGACAAACGUUGAUUACAAGAGUUCCGUGUGAAUAAUACCUAAUCGCAUAAUCCUCCGGCCGUUGUGGUUGUUGUGAGUGCAGGGUGCCAUUCAAAGAGAGAAUUCAACAUGACAUCUUUUAUAAAGAGUGAGGAGCGCGAUGACACUUACAAAAGAUGAGGCUACGACAGUCUACAACACAAUGUCCAACGGUCAACAGAUGUAGAAAGGAUUAAAGGAAGUUCCGCCUUAUAGGUAAAAGAGCCAAUCACCUUUUAGAUACAGACAUCACCUGUCAAUCAACUCGAUUAUGCGCAUGCGCAUUAGCUAUACAAGCCGGGAACGUUAUGUUUUAGCGUAAUAUGAGGUAAAGAAACCCAAUUUAUGAUUCCAGUAUUAUUAAAAUUUCUUUGGCUGAUUUGAAAUAUGCUCUUUGAUCGUAAUCUUGAGCAACUGUUUUUGAGAUUUUCCCCCAUUCAAGUAGAUAGGAGCUGCUCUGGCAUGACUGGAAAUAACCUCCCGAGAGCGUUCCAGAGAUGGCUGACAGUGGACUGACUUGCUAGAAAGACUUUGUUUACAGUAAAAAUGACUUAAAUAUUGAUUUGUUUCUCACCAACACCUAUCAUAUCGUAACUUAAGGUUUAUCAUAAGUGUCUACAUGCUUUGGGGCCACUGUAUUAGAUAUUUCUGUGAGAUAUGUGUGUUUUACAUAACUGUGUACUUGCAUUCUUUCCUGACCUGUACUUCUAAUAAUGCUUCAGUCAACGCAAGAGGAUGCAGCUUCAGAUUGAUCUCAAAUCACAGCAGCGCAAUCAACAUAUAUUUAUUCAUAGAAAAAAAAAGAGUAUAAUUUCAGACUGUUGUUAUUUUAACAUAAUUGUGUGUAGUAUUCAGAUAUUGAGAAUAAAUGGAAAGUGCUAUGUAUGAUUCAAUUUGCAUGUCUUGCACACCAUCUUUCCAAUUCUAAUGGGAUCCAACAAGAAUGAUCGGUAACACUUUACAAUGAAGUGCUGCAUGGUCUUUCUGAUGAAGCUGGUUACUAAGAUAGUUUAAAAGUCUGGUGGGACACAAUCACACCAGCAUCCAAAACACAGCAUACGCUGGUGACCAGUAAUUCUGGUCUUUUCAGAUGGGACUGGUUCAGAAAUCAGUCUGAAUGAUUCAUUAGCAGAUCAGUCUGAAUCUAAAUGUGUUUUUAAAAAUCCUCAUUGGUAACACUUUACAAUAAGGUUCCACUUGUUAACAUUAACAUUAGUUAACAUGAACUAACAAUUA